CAGCCACAUCACGUUGAAAAACCGGUUUCCAUAUGAUCACUGAAGUUAAGCAAUAUCAAACCUGGUCAGUACCUAGAUGGGUGACCACCUGGGAAUAUCAGGUGCUGUAAG